GCAUUUUCAGGUUUCCUUUUCGUGUUUGACUUUGCCUUCUGUCAUAUGCCAUUUGCUUUUUCCUUUACAUUUGGCAGUAGCAUUUUCAUUUUGCAUUUCCCUUUUGCCUUUGCCUUUCUUCUAUGUCACUUUCCUUUUGCCGUUGCCUUUUGCCUUUUGCCUUUCCUCCAUUGAAUUUGCCCUCAGGUUUUUGCUUUUCGCACUGCCAUUUGCUUUUGCCCUUUGCCUUUGCAUUUUGCAUUUUGCUUUUGGCGUUUUCCUUUGUAUUUUUUCCUCUGCCAUUUUCCUUCUUCGUUUACCUUUGACACUAGCUUUUCACUUUACCUUUUGCAUUUCCCUUUUGCCUUUUUGUCCUACGCUACUUACCUUUUGACUUUGCCAUUUGCUUUUGCGUUUUGCCUUUGCCAUUACGCUUUGUCUUUUGCUCUUUCCAUUUUCUUUUACCCAUUGCCUUUGCAUUUUCAGUUUUCCUUUUGACGUUUCCUGUUGCCUUCUAUUGUAUGCAGUUUACCUUUUUCCUUUAAUCUUCCAUUUUUCCUUUUUCAUUUCCCUAUUGCCUUUGCCUUUUGUCUUAUGCCAUGUACCAUUUUCCUUUUGUUUAUUUCCUUUUGCCUUAUGCCUUUUACAUUUGUCUUUGCCUUUGGCGUAUUGCCUUUGCCCGUUGGCCUUGCUGGGUGCUUCUGCCCUUGUGUUUUGUAUUUUCCCUUUGCCUUUUGCCUCAGCCCUUGGCUUUUGACCUUCCGUUUGCCUGUUGCCUUUUUCUUUUGCCUUGCCUUAUAGCUUUGUCGUUGCGUUUGGUCUUUUCCCUCUGCCGUUUGCUUUGGCCUGUUGCAUUUGCCUGUUGCCUUUGCAUUUGGCAGUUUGCUUUUGCUUUUGCCUUUGCAUUUUACCCUCUAUCCUAUGCCAUUUAGUUUUGCCUUUUGACUUCUGCUGUUGCCUUCUGCUGUUGCCUUUUGCCCUUUUUAUUUUUCAUGUCUUGCUUUGCUGCUCCAUCUUUGUUGCCAUGGAUUUCUUUUGAUUUUUCAUGUCUUGCUUUGCUGCUCCGUCUUUGUUGCCAUGGAUUUCUUUUGAGUUUUGUGUUUUGUGCCGGGCAUGUGAAUUCCUUUUUUUUUUUCCUUUUCCAUUCUUGGAGCUCUUUUAUCCUUCACUAUGCGGUAUUCCUUUGUGUUUCUCAGUGUUUGAAGACAUUUUGCUUUCCUUUCCUUGGCAUUUUAGUUCUUCAGCUUUCAUUUCUCCUUCCUGGUUUUGCUUUGCUCUUUGGUUUUUCCUUUGUAUCUUUGCCUUGUGUAGCUUUUGAAUGUUCUUUGUUUCCAGGGCUCAUCACUGUGGAGUGUUUUUAUCUGUUUCUUUUAGUUGGACUCUUUGCUUUGACAUGGUCUUGUGUUCAGGUGAUUUGCUUGACGUUUGUAUUUCUAGACCUUUGCUCUGCUCUGUUUUUCCUGUUUGUUUGGUAUUCCCCCCUUUGCAUUUCUGUAGUGCCCCUUUGGCUUUGCUUUCCACGGUCUUCGUUACAUGCUUGCUGCUUCUUUGUCCUUCCAGUUCCUUUCUUUGCAUUCUCUUUCUCCUUGCUGAGAGCAUUCUGUUUUUUUCCAGGCUCUUAUUUUCUCUUUGCUUUGAGUUUCUCCUUUCCUUCUCAUUCUUUCUUUGCCUGGCUUUGCUUUCCUUUUGUCCCUUUGCCGUUGCCUUUUCUCUUACUUUUUGCCUUCAACUUACCUGAUUG
ensembl:lncRNA